rnacentral:rRNA from 1 species
GGCUCAGGACGAACGCUGGCGGCGUGCCUAAUACAUGCAAGUCGAACGGUCUUUCUAUGGAAGCUUGCUUCCACUGAGAAGAUAGUGGCGAACGGGUGAGUAACACGUGGGUAACCUGCCCAUAAGAGGGGGAUAACAUCCGGAAACGGGUGCUAAUACCGCAUAGUUUUCUUGAUCGCAUGAUCGGGAAAGGAAAGACGGCCUUUGUGCUGUCGCUUAUGGAUGGACCCGCGGCGUAUUAGUUAGUUGGUGAGGUAACGGCUCACCAAGACGAUGAUACGUAGCCGACCUGAGAGGGUGAUCGGCCACAUUGGGACUGAGACACGGCCCAAACUCCUACGGGAGGCAGCAGUAGGGAAUCUUCCGCAAUGGACGAAAGUCUGACGGAGCAACGCCGCGUGAGUGAAGAAAGGUUUUCGGAUCGUAAAACUCUGUUGUCAGAGAAGAACAAGUUGGAGAGUAACUGCUCCAGCCUUGACGGUAUCUGACCAGAAAGCCACGGCUAACUACGUGCCAGCAGCCGC